rnacentral:rRNA from 1 species
AGUAUUGAGUGAAAGGCGGGGGGGCAACCCCCGCACUGCUCUUGAAACUGUAUGGCUGGAGUGCAGCAGGGGUAAGCGGAAUUCCUAGUGUAGCGGUGAAAUGCGUAGAUAUUAUGAGGAACACCAGUGGCGGAGGCGGCGUACUGGACUGUAACUGACGUUGAGGCUCGAAAGCGUGGGGAGCAAACAGGAUUAGAUACCCUGGUAGUGCACGCCGUAAACGAUGAUUACUAGGUGUCGGAGGGUGUGGACCCUCCGGUGCCGCAGCAAACGCAGUAAGUAAUCCACCUGGGGAGUACGUUCGCAAGAAUGAAACUCAAAAGAAUUGACGGGGACCCGCACAGGCGGUGGAGCAUGUGGUUUAAUCUGAAGCAACGCGAAGAACCUUACCAAGUCUUGACAUCUGGAUGACAGGGACGUAACGGUCCCCUUACUUCGGUACAUCCAAGACAGGUGGUGCAUGGUUGUCGUCAGCUCGUGUCGUGAGAUGUUGGGUUAAGUCCCGCAACGAGCGCAACCCUUAUCCUUAGUAGCCAGCGGGCAGGGCCGGGCACUCUAGGGAGACUGCCGGGGAUAACCCGGAGGAGGGUGGGGAGGACGUCAAAUCAUCAUGCCCCUUAUGAUUUGGGCUACACACGUGCUACAAUGGCGUAAACAGAGGGAAGCGAACCCGCGAGGGGGAGCAGAUCCCAAAAAUAACGUCCCAGUUCGGAUUGUAGCCUGCAACCCGGCUACAUGAAGCUGGAAUCGCUAGUAAUCGCGGAUCAGAAUGCCGCGGUGAAUACGUUCCCGGGUCUUGUACACACCGCCCGUCAA